GACGAACGCUGGCGGCGUGCUUAACACAUGCAAGUCGAACGGAAAGGCCCUGCUUUUGUGGGGUGCUCGAGUGGCGAACGGGUGAGUAACACGUGAGUAACCUGCCCUUGACUUUGGGAUAACUUCAGGAAACUGGGGCUAAUACCGGAUAGGAGCUCCUGCUGCAUGGUGGGGGUUGGAAAGUUUCGGCGGUUGGGGAUGGACUCGCGGCUUAUCAGCUUGUUGGUGGGGUAGUGGCUUACCAAGGCUUUGACGGGUAGCCGGCCUGAGAGGGUGACCGGCCACAUUGGGACUGAGAUACGGCCCAGACUCCUACGGGAGGCAGCAGUGGGGAAUAUUGCACAAUGGGCGGAAGCCUGAUGCAGCAACGCCGCGUGCGGGAUGACGGCCUUCGGGUUGUAAACCGCUUUCGCCUGUGACGAAGCGUGAGUGACGGUAAUGGGUAAAGAAGCACCGGCUAACUACGUGCCAGCAGCCGCGGUGAUACGUAGGGUGCGAGCGUUGUCCGGAUUUAUUGGGCGUAAAGGGCUCGUAGGUGGUUGAUCGCGUCGGAAGUGUAAUCUUGGGGCUUAACCCUGAGCGUGCUUUCGAUACGGGUUGACUUGAGGAAGGUAGGGGAGAAUGGAAUUCCUGGUGGAGCGGUGGAAUGCGCAGAUAUCAGGAGGAACACCAGUGGCGAAGGCGGUUCUCUGGGCCUUUCCUGACGCUGAGGAGCGAAAGCGUGGGGAGCGAACAGGCUUAGAUACCCUGGUAGUCCACGCUGUAAACGGUGGGUACUAGGUGUGGGGUCCAUUCCACGGGUUCCGUGCCGUAGCUAACGCUUUAAGUACCCCGCCUGGGGAGUACGGCCGCAAGGCUAAAACUCAAAGGAAUUGACGGGGCCCCGCACAAGCGGCGGAGCAUGCGGAUUAAUUCGAUGCAACGCGUAGAACCUUACCUGGGUUUGACAUGGAUCGGGAGUGCUCAGAGAUGGGUGUGCCUCUUUUGGGGUCGGUUCACAGGUGGUGCAUGGCUGUCGUCAGCUCGUGUCGUGAGAUGUUGGGUUAAGUCCCGCAACGAGCGCAACCCUUGUUCACUGUUGCCAGCACGUUAUGGUGGGGACUCAGUGGAGACCGCCGGGGUCAACUCGGAGGAAGGUGGGGAUGACGUCAAGUCAUCAUGCCCCUUAUGUCCAGGGCUUCACGCAUGCUACAAUGGCUGGUACAGAGAGUGGCGAGCCUGUGAGGGUGAGCGAAUCUCGGAAAGCCGGUCUCAGUUCGGAUUAGGGUCUGCAACUCGACCUCAUGAAGUCGGAGUCGCUAGUAAUCGCAGAUCAGCAACGCUGCGGUGAAUACGUUCCCGGGGCU
rnacentral:rRNA from 1 species